AUGGGAACGCGAAGAACCUUACCUACUCUUGACAUCCAGAGAACUUUCCAGAGAUGGAUUGGUGCCUUCGGGAACUCUGAGACAGGUGCUGCAUGGCUGUCGUCAGCUCGUGUUGUGAAAUGUUGGGUUAAGUCCCGCAACGAGCGCAACCCGUUAUCCUUUGUUGCCAGCGGUUAGGCCGGGAACUCAAAGGAGACUGCCAGUGAUAAACUGGAGGAAGGUGGGGAUGACGUCAAGUCAUCAUGGCCCUUACGAGUAGGGCUACGACACGUGCUACAAUGGCGCAUACAAAGAGAAGCGACCUCGCGAGAGCAAGCGGACCUCAUAAAGUGCGUCGUAGUCCGGAUUGGAGUCUGCAACUCGACUCCAUGAAGUCGGAAUCGCUAGUAAUCGUAGAUCAGAAUGCUACGGUGAAUACGUUCCC
rnacentral:rRNA from 1 species